rnacentral:tRNA from 1 species
UGGGGUGUAACUCAGUUGCACAGUGCCUGCCUGGGAAGCACGAGGUCCUGAGUUCAAUUCCCAGUACCAAAA